rnacentral:rRNA from 1 species
GCUCCUUCCCGCCUUAUUAUUACCGCCCGUCCGCCAGCUUUACCCUGUGAAGGCAUCGCAGUAAGCAAGAUGGGCAAUAGCCCAAAACGUCAGGUCGAGGUGUAGCGUACGAAGUAGGAAGAAAUGGGCUACAUUAUCUGAAGCAGAUUAUUCACGGAAAGUCACCUGAAAACGCUGACUCGAAGGUGGAUUUAGCAGUAAGGAGAGAAUAGAGAGCUCUCCUGAAGCCGGCUCUGAAGCGCGCACACACCGCCCGUCACUCUCCCCAACAACCCUAGCAUUUGAUAACUAACACAACAACGAUUACAAGGGGAGGCAAGUCGUAACAUGGUAAGUGUACCGGAAGGUGCACUUGGAAUAAC